GAUGAACGCUGGCGGCGUGCUUAACACAUGCAAGUCGAACGAAGCACUUUAUUUGAUUUCCUUCGGGACUGAUUAUUUUGUGACUGAGUGGCGGACGGGUGAGUAACGCGUGGGUAACCUGCCUUGUACAGGGGGAUAACAGUUGGAAACGGCUGCUAAUACCGCAUAAGCGCACAGCAUCGCAUGAUUCAGUGUGAAACACUCCGGUGGUGUAAGAUGGACCCGCGUUGGAUUAGCUAGUUGGUGAGGUAACGGCCCACCAAGGCGACGAUCCAUAGCCGAGCAGAGAGGGUGACCGGCAACAUUGGGACGGAGACACGGCCCAAACUCCUACGGGAGGCAGCAGUGGGGAAUAUUGCACAAUGGGCGAAAGCAUGAUGCAGCGACGACGCGUGAGCGAAGAAGUAUUGCGGUAUGUAAAGCUAUAUCAGCAGGGAAGAUAAUGACGGUACCUGACUAAGAAGCACCGGCUAAAUACGUG
rnacentral:rRNA from 1 species